GAUGAACGCUGGCGGCGUGCCUAAUACAUGCAAGUCGAGCGAACAGACGAGGAGCUUGCUCCUCUGACGUUAGCGGCGGACGGGUGAGUAACACGUGGAUAACCUACCUAUAAGACUGGGAUAACUUCGGGAAACCGGAGCUAAUACCGGAUAAUAUAUUGAACCGCAUGGUUCAAUAGUGAAAGACGGUUUUGCUGUCACUUAUAGAUGGAUCCGCGCCGCAUUAGCUAGUUGGUAAGGUAACGGCUUACCAAGGCAACGAUGCGUAGCCGACCUGAGAGGGUGAUCGGCCACACUGGAGCUGAGACACGGUCCAGACUCCUACGGGAGGCAGCAGUAGGGAAUCUUCCGCAAUGGGCGAAAGCCUGACGGAGCAACGCCGCGUGAGUGAUGAAGGCCUUCGGAUCGUAAAACUCUGUUAUUAGGGAAGAACAAAUGUGUAAGUAACUAUGCACGUCUUGACGGUACCUAAUCAGAAAGCCACGGCUAACUACGUG
rnacentral:rRNA from 1 species